GUUACAGUUUAUUUCAGGUUCAGAAAUGCAGCUUAACAUUUUUACAGCAGGUGUAUGUGAUGGUCAAUAAUGACCAUGGUUUCAGGAAUCGACUUGUGCUCAAAGGUCAACACCAGGAACCAUUUACAGAUUAUGAAACCAAAGGUGGAUGCUUUGGCUCAUGUGAAAUAGGGCAUUAACAGACAGAGCAAAAUUCAGAAAGAAAUUAAGCAUUUGCUUCUUACAAAAAGCAGUCACUGUUUACACCGUCCUGGAAAAGUAAAGAGACAGGCAGUAAAGUAAAUGGCCGUCAAGACGGAACAAAUCAUAUAUCAAGCAAGAGUGGAGGACUGUCUGGACGGGAGGAGCCAUCGGUAUCACCUCGCCUGCAGACAAAGUAAGAGGAAAGACAGGCAGAGUAACAUUCAUUUACACAAGGGAGCUGUUCUGCUAGAGCCUGGGGAGGAGGUUCAAUGCCACAGCAGGAGGAACUGUGCUAUAAGCACACAGAGAGGUUGGACCUCCCCAGUGUCACAGAUACAAAAUAGGUCUGCUUUCAAUUCAGGAGGUUUGUACUAUUGUAACACAAAAAGACAGAACUAGCCAGUAAUCUCAAUAUGUUGUAUACACAUUGUUUAGUGUAGCUAUCUGCAAUAGAGUGUAAUAUUUUCUAUGUUAUACUUUAACACGUGAUGCCAUAACCUGUAAUGUAUCUCCUUUAAUAUAAUAAAUAAUCUACUUUUAUGAGGCUUACUCAGAAAGUGCAACAAGAUCAGGAAUAAAAUAAACACAUUAACUAUGUACAUAAGCCUUUUCAUUGAACAUACAAUCUUUUUAAUCCUACCACAAGAUCCCUUGAGAUCAAAGGCCAAGAGCUAUUUAUGGCAUGUACAAGCUCUUCAGCUGUUGGUCAGCCAUGACGAAGUAAGGUGGAACAUGUUCUCCAGGCAGAGACCGAGGCUUAGCCUAAAUGCAGUACUAGAUGAGCACUCUCCUGAAACUUAGCUGCGUAUAUCACCCACCUAAUUACACAUCUCACAUAAGAUCCUGCUGUUGCUUAACAGGAGUCUUCACUACUCCCUGGCAAUCUUCUGAGCUUUGCCACAGGGAAGCAAAGAAAGGGAGAGCAGCCCAUGCUUCUCAGAUAUGGGAGUUCAGGCCUAGUUCCCCCUGCAUAAGAGGGCCCGCAGAGGGGGCAGUGGCCAGUCUGAGGUAACCAGUCCCUUUAGCAGACCCACACAGUGCUUGUCCUGCUGUCCUUUGGGCAUGGAGGAAGUUGCUGCCACGGCUGCUCUGAGAACAAGGGAGGGGAGAGACAUGACUUGCCAGCAUGAAGAGGGAGCGGGACAAACCAACCCGUUCCAGGAGGAAAUGGGCUGAGGCUGGGAGGACAGUGCUUAUUCAACUGGAUGUGGCAAUUUCUUGGGAAGCACUUAGCAUUUUUCCUAGAAACAACAAUUCUGUGUAGUUUAUUCUGAAAAGCGUAUAUGCAAGAAGUUAGAGGUAAAAUCAUCAAACUCUGGAUCUGUGCUCAAGGUUAAUUACUAACCUGCACACCUAAAAGUAUUAUGUCUGGGACCCAGGGCCAGAUUUAGGUGUGAUCUGAGUAAGGAUGCAGAGGAAGGGAGGGCUGUGCAGCUGUGUCCCACAACCUCAACAUCAAGCGCAGAACCAGAUGGUGCUGAUGAUGGGGCCACAGGCACCUCACUGCCUCCUCCUUCAGGUGAAUCCACCCUUGAGAGCAUCAUUUACAAGUCAGGAUUACUGCUGAGAAAUACAAUUUCUUUGGGGGCAGAGUUAAGGACAGCACUGAAUUGUGCCACUUUUACUUCCUUAUGCUUGUCAGAAAGAGUCAUCAAAGUAAAUAAAGGAGUCUCAAGUACAGAAGAUUUUAGGCCAGGAUCUGUGUCAUCUAAUUGAGGCUCCUAACUUACCAGCAUUCCCACCCUCAUCUCCCAUGCAGCCGCAUCAAUCUGAAUCACCUUCUGGAGGUGCUGCCUCUUUCCACUGUACAAAAGGGACCUUGGACAACUAAACUGAGUGCUUGGGGUAUGGGUGGGAUAAACCCAGACCAUGGCCUUGCAGUAUCACUGAAUGAAUAUCAAAAUUUGGGGUUAAAAUUACUUUCUGUGGCUGUGGUGCUAAGCUUGGCUUUCUGUCAGCAGGCAGCUGCCCGUCAGUAACAGAGAGUUCUGAUAAACUAUAUACAGGUUUGCUGGCUAGACAACAGCAGGAACUACUAUAAUUAUUUAUAAAAAUACAUCUAAUAUGUGCAUUGCUUGUUACAGCAAAUAUGUUGGGUUUUUUUUUUUUGUAGUAAAUAUCAAUAGGUUUGCAACAGUAGUUGGGUUUGCAACCUUUUUUUCUUUGAAAGCUGAUGCUGUGCAUUUGGUGUUGGCGAUGUGGGUCUGUUCUCCAAACAAACACUUAAGCAGUCUUCUGAGAUCACCAAGAUGCCAGUGCUCUGACAAAACUCCAUCUUCGCUGUGUUUCACAUGUUGACCCCUAGGCUCCCCAGGCAUGUGUUACAAGUAUGAGGUUGACAGGAAAUUAAAUUUAAGCUAACAUACAAAUCAUGAUGUUUUCCCAAGCUCAUCUCUCUUAUGCAAGCUGAAACAUGAUUUGCUUCAGUGGUGAGCACGGCUAAUCAGCAGACUGGGAAUACUUAGUAGGCUAAAUCCCCAUUCAUUGUGGGUCUUUGGUUAGAUUCUUCCUAACCAUGGGGCUACAGCAUACUGGAGCCCUACAUGCAGUCUCAAUAAAUAAAUUUAUUAGACUGAUUAGACUGGGGCCUUUGAAACCACCAAUUGCUUUGCCUAGGGAUCUGUAACCAUAAUAGAAAUAACAGCAAUUAAUAUUUUCGGAAGAAACAAGGCCCAAUUAAUCUCUAGUUUAAUUUUGUUAACUCAGUAAGUUUUAAGCUGUAAGGGUGACGCUAACCCUAACUGUUUAAAGUGAAGUAAUGCAGUCAAGACAAGAGGUUUCUACAAUGCAUUAAUAUAUAACGUGCAAAACAAUAGGCAGAGAGGACCUCUGCAAGCGAACAUCUGCUAAAAUAAUCCACACAGCUGAGUACUUCUAGUACCUAUAUCAUAGAAGUGAUCCUAAUCUGAGGUGUGCAGGACUUCAAGUGAUGCAAAGAGAAAAUCUUUAUAUAGGGGGCAUAAUGGAACUUUACCGACUGGUGUGAGCAAUAUCUCAAAUCCAAACCAGACCCUUGGAAAGCUCAGAUGCAAAUCUAGGCUGUAGCUCUGUGAGUUGGCUCACACAAUGGGCAGAGGAGCAGUAGCCCAUUUACAGCUGUGCUGUGCCAUAUCAUAUAAUAUAACGUAACAUAUCAUACCUGUAUCUAUAUUUCCUUCUGUCUCACAAAAUGACCAAAAGCAACGCUCAGUUCUCUGGAUCCUGCAGUACAGUACAUUUAUACAUAUUUCAUACACUCACCCCCAAGGCUUCCGAUAAGUUCAGUGGGAGUACGAAUGUGAGCAAGCACUAGCAGAGGACAAAGCAAGCUGGCACACGCUGCUCUGUUAUGUACUGGUUCUUCAAAAUACCCUUUCACAUCCUUGCUGCAACACCACAGCCUGGUCACUACCAACCACCCAAUCUAUGUUGCAUGUCAGCUGCCAAUGUGGAAAUAAAGUAAAACGCGCAUUGUCCCAUACACACACUUCUUGUUUAACAACAUUCCUUAAAAACUAGACUUUGGAUAAGGAGAAAUUAUAGGAGAAGCAGCCAUCCAGCAA
rnacentral:lncRNA from 1 species